GCAGAUUACUGAGGAAGAAUUGUUCAGGAACUGGUCGUUUGUAUGAUGGCUCCUUCAUGAAACACAAAGCAGAACACAGAAAGACUAUACCCACCACCUCAAGUUGCAUGAUAACCUGUUUGAGGACUAUGCAUUCUUUCCUAAUUUUCCUCAGUGCAGAAGUAUUCCUAAAUUUCAAGUUGAUGUUUCCCAAGAAUGUAAAACAACAAUUUGCCACAAAAAGAAGAUAGGACACCAUUCUCUGUCUCCCGGCAUAUUAACUACAUAUUGCCCUCAUGGAAUAUCAUACGGGUUUGAAGUGUUGCAAAACGUUGAGUCACCAAGAACACCAUUUCAAAUGAUGCUAUUCAAUUGUACAAACUCAGUAUACAUUGAAGGUGUCUCUCUUGAAAAUUUCAUGUGUACAACAUUAUAGCAGCACUUGACCUGUGUACUAUCACAAUCAACAUGUCACAAGUCAUAACAUAGUAAAACCCAGAAAAUCUAUACAAACUGAAAGUAUACAUCAUGUGAAAAAGUAUACGUAUUUUCUACUGUAGGUGCAACAUAUACCAUACAAUUCUAUUCCCUACCAAACUGCCAACAUAAUCAAGUAUUUCUUAGUGUUUCUAGGUUUCCUCAAGCUGACGAUGGAGAUGCUCAAAUUUAGGAGCUAGUUGAGGGCAAGUGGUACAAACAAACUGAGGAAAGUCAUCGUCUUCAUGAACAGCAAGAGCCGUAGCUUCUUGCAGAAGAGUGUGGAGACGUGCGGUGGUGUGAAACAGACUAACUCUGUCCCUCCUGUCUUUCCUGAAUUGUGUUCCACAUAUUCAGCAAACAUCAGAUGAAGGCUUCUUUGGCGUUCCAAAAUUUGCCAUAGCAGCUAGCUGCAGAUGCGAAGGACAAAGAAUAGAGCCUGAGGAAUUGUCCCACGAGCUCUAUUAGUAUGUUGAUGUUGGAAUAUGAUUAUCAAAUUGGCUAUUGUGGGUACGCCUAUUUCUGAACUGGCUUUCUAUAGAAGCGCACCCAGACGUUUCUUUCUUCCCGCCCACUUUUGCCCUUUCCCCACCUACUCUGUGCUUUAUUUAGAAAUGUCUGGGCUCCGAGGCUACCACGAUAUAUUCUUUAUAACAACGCUUGUAACUUACAUGAGUAUGUGCUGAACAGAGAACCAAGGCUAUUUCAAAAUUCAGUAGUCCUUGUUGAUCGGUUUCAUUGGUUUAACCACUCAGGUUGUUCAGAUGGCUACUGUAUUGACAGUUACAAGAACUAAGUUUUGGAGAGUCUGAACACAGCAGUCUUGAACAAGAACAUUCAGGACUAAUCCGCUUAAAAAGCCAACUUUCCUAUAUGAAACCUGCUAAUUUUAUUAGACAUGUAGUUUGUUUUGUCAUUAAA